rnacentral:rRNA from 1 species
GUUUUAUCCUAGCUCAGAAUGAACGCUAAUAGUAUGCUUAACACAUGCAAGUUAAACGAAAAUUAUUUUGUAGCGAACGGGUGAGGAAUAGACAGAAUGCUACCUUUUAGUUUAGAACAAAAAUAUUCUUUAGAGUGUUUGAAUACUGAAUAAAACAAAAAGGGUUAGCUUUUUAAAAAAGUGGAUUCCGCUAAAAGAUGGGUCUGUGUAGGAUUAGGUAGUUGGUAAAUUUAACAGCUUACCAAGCCAAUGAUCCUUAGUUGGUCUUAGAGGACGAUCAACCACACUGGAACUGAAACAAGGUCCAGGCUGAGUAGUCGGCCAGCAGUGAGGAAUAUUGGACAAUGAACGAAAGUUUGAUCCAGCAAUGCUAUUUGAAUGAAGACGGCUUUUUUUAGUUGUAAAGUUUUUUCGUUAAGAAUGAUAAUGA